CCCAAAGGGAUAUUUCCAAAGACCUCUAAAAGGGAAUAAACUGUCAGGUUAAAACACUGUGUUUAUCAAAUUGAGGCAGAGACUCCCUUGCUUCCUACGUGAUUUCAAAUAAAUUAGAAGCCCAUCUGUUGUGUUUCGUUCCAAGAAAUUAAUUACUUCCAAGGAUGACGAGUUUUUACAAUGAAGUAAUUAUCAAGCUAAUAGUGAAGGCAAAGGUUGGACCUUCAACAAGAGCAAAUUGCUGCAGCUCCAGGGCCUGCAGCUGCGUGCUCCUGAGACUGCGCGGGACUCACCCCGGGGCUCCGGGAGAGCUUAAUAAAUAACACUGACACCAUAUUGAACCCUGUUAAGAAGCGCCAAGGAAUGGGCUCCUAGAAACAUAGGAGUGCCUUCCUUGUAUUUGUGAUGGCUGAGUGACACCCAGACCCCUGGAAGCCAACAGGAAGAUCUCCUUUGAGGAGGAUCAAACAUUUCACAUCACACAUGCUCCUUCCUUUCUGAGAUCCUUACUCUUAUCUGGCACAUCUGUGUUAGAAAUGCUGAUGGCCAGGUCUGGGAGAGACACUAAAUACACCAGAGAAACCCAGAACAGCAGAGUAACCACAGAUCUACACUGGAAGGAAGCUACAUGGCUGGAAAGUGAAGUCAGGUGUUUGCUCUGGUUCACCUCUUCAAGGACACCUUCAUCCUCAUGCACUGCAAGGUGCUCCUGAAUUCAGGGCCAUAGAUCAGAUCCCUGUACAUGCCACCACUGCCAGGUCCUUCACCUCUGCUCAUGUCCCCAUGUCACCAGUCGGCUCUCUCCAGCCCCCCGUCCCUGGAGGGAAGAAGAUACCUUAGAAAAGACCCAGACAUCUUGACCCAGGAAUCCACUCCAAAGUCAAGGUCUUUAACCCACAAAUCAUCCUUUCCAUCCAAGCAGAGGAUGGCCUGCUGCUCCUGACUUCAUGGAUUAAAAGGACCCACUUUUUCUUGGCCUUCAUCACACCCACAAGUUUAUUCUGGUGAGAGAUUUGCUGCAAAGGACAGAUUCUGUCCCACAGCCCUGAGACAGGUUUCUCACUGUCCUUGGGAAGACUCAAGCACUGAGGAAAAUAGUCAUAUCUCCUGUGCAGCUGAUCUUCAAUGGAGCACACACUGCUCGAGCCAGGAAACUCAUAAAUAGAUCCGGGGGAAAAAAAGUCAAAUUCAUCCUGGCACCGGCUCCCAGCUUGCAGAGCUGGAAAAUUGCAGCAUAGCAUAGAUCGUCCAUUUCCAUUUCCUUGAGAGAUUGUUUCUGAUCCCACUUUCUUCUUGCCCAACACCUGCUCAAAUUCACGUAGCUGAGGCCACAAAGGGGCUGUGGGCUCCAGGCUGUGUCCUGGGAGCUGCUGACUGGAGAGCAAGGGCCAUAUCUCAGUGCAGAUGGGCCAGGCAUGAGGGUCUGGGCCUGGCCAGGGAUGGUGGCCUGGCCUCAUGGCUGGUCCUCCUCCCUAUGGCCCUACCUGCACCCUGAGCAAGCACUUGGGCAGAUGUCACUGUGCCUGCUAACACGGCAUGAGGGAGCUAAAGGCUGCAAAACCCACUUUGUGCAGUGUAAGACUGUGGAAAUGGCUUCUUUCUACAGCCACCCUGCUCUGCUGCGGUCUCCUCUCCCUUCAGCACUGGAGAAAAGACAUUUCUCCUUCCUGCUUGAGCUGUACUAAAUCCCCAAUGUGCUGCUCCGCAGACAUGGGGCAGCACAUCUGUGUAGCCAUCAUGGUGGACAUCCAGCAUGCACAAGGGGAUGAGGCUGUUGGGAAUGGGUGCACGACAUGUCCUGCUGACCACCCUGUAAAUAAACUGCGCAGUGGUCAGAAUCAAAAGAACAAGUUCAGGUCUGCAAGAAACCUUCCAAGCCAGCUCUGACAGCUUCUUGUGUUUUCCUUUGCUGUAGCUUGCAGCCAGAUAUGUCAUCCUGAGCAUGGAAAUGUAACCAGAGGGGAGACCUGGGGAGUGCAGGCACAAAUCUCCCAAGGUUUUUUCCCACUUGGAGGCUCAGGUGGAUGGAGUUCCUCACCAGGCACACAACAACGAAAAUCAACAAACACAGCCAAGUUCAGUGCCAGACUGUUUAGACAGACAAGGGGGGUGUUAUUUUAAAUCCAGCUGAUCUCACUCAUCCUCUCAUACCCACAAACUCGCUGUCACCAGGACACACGUGCCCCACUUGUCUGCCCAGGAUCGCUCACAGUGGCAUGGAGGACAAAGGACACCAAGGCCUUGUCACAUCUCCUGUUUUUCAGAGGCUGGCAGACAAAUGCUGGUUUUGGAUGUGCUUCUCAUACCCGUUAGGCGCAGCUUUCCUCCUGCCUCUUCCUGUUUGAUUCAGUUUUGCUUAGGGAAAUACAAUUUUGUGCCCUGUGCCAGUUACUAAUGAGACAGCACAAAACAAGUAAAACAAAACAAAUACAAAUUCAAAACAGGAAAGUGCUACUGACUUGGGUGAUUAUUUAUUCUUCUGACGGAAGCAAAUUAACAAGGUCCCACCAGCAGACAAUCCGCUCAGGCUGAAAAGAAGCAACGUUCUCCCACUCAAAUUAGACUGACUUGUCAUAUUAACUCCAGAUACUAUCUUGGCAGAAGUGAUGCUGCUCUACAUGGUUGAAACAUUUGCAGCAUGGCCAGGAUUUUGUAGAAACCGGAGUGCCAAGCUGCAUCAAGGCUUCGUCCCACUUUGUGUCCAUCCUUAACCCAUAACAGGUGUCCAGGAGACUGCCCAGAACUGUGGGUCUGACCUCCAGCAGCCCCUCCAAUCUCUCCACCACCUGAUGUGAUCUUGCUGCUUCUGGGGAGCUGCUCACAGAAGGGCAUGUAAUUAUGGGUCUCUCCCUACCCUUUGGCCAUUCCCGCCCCUGGAGUUGGACGGUGCCUUCUCGGGUCCCUCAGGCCAGCCAGGCACGUUGGCACAGCACAGGCCAGGACGGGGCUGCCAGUGUGAGCACAGGUCUAAACCCAACAGGAGGGACUGGCGCUAUUGCUGCUGCCUCAUUGCAGAACGUGGUAAAUUCAGGUAGAAACCAGUAGUGAACCAGGAUUUAGGAUCUAAAUCCAGUUCAAACAGACUUUUCAAGGGUAAAGAGUGAGCAAGAGCAUGGCUCAAACCUACAGAGUCCCUUCUGAAGGGGUGACUGCCUCCAUGUGCAGUAAGGCCAUUUCUUCCUUCAAGAACUGGGUAGACGCUCCGUGCAGGAUGAGAGAUGUUCUUGGAGAUCCUCUGCUGAAGCCAACUGUCCUUUCACAGUGGGAUUCAGCCACCAUAUUGUCAGCAGCAAAUUACCCCCAAGUGUCCACCAUGGUGCCGGAAAGCCAAUGUCCAGCACACAAGCCAUCUGCUCCUACAUCCUUGCCCGUUUCUGCUUUGACAUGGGGAAAGUUUCACUAGCAGAGGGAAAUUCUGGAAGACAAAGAGCUCUUUCCAGUUAUCACUUGAGCAGGGAAAAAAAGAGGUUACACCAGACAGCUCACCAUCACAGUAUUCCCUACAGCAUUUACCUGCUCCCAACACAGAUAUAAUUAGGUCACCUGGUGGGAGCAGGAAGGAUGGAGCAGGUCCCCAGGCGAACAGGGACUGAUGUGAGCUCCUUGUUGGUGCUAUGGUGGAGGGAAGGCUGGAGAAGGACAUGGGGGGAAGUGUUCUAGGUGAAGAACUUGUAAGAAACUAGGUCACACCUUAAUACACUUCUCAAGGAGUUUUUGGUAGGAGCUUGACUUUGAACUUCCCUUUUAAAAAUAAGAAGUGGCCUACAUAGGACUGAGUAAAAAAUUAUACAAGCAUCCCAUGGUAAUGUAUAGAGCAGCAGUAACCUCCAGAAUAGCAUCGGUGGGGGAUUUGUGCCCUGAGCUAAGAGCCAUCAGAGACCAUCUGCAGAUGAGAAAUGGCAGCUCCUUUGGAAAGUCAAUGGUGGGUCACUGUGAAAGGAGAGACUUUUGCCACCUUGUCAAGGCAGCUGGGAUGACUGUAUGAAGAACUGGGGUACGUGCUCUAGUCAGGGGAUUUCCAGCUGAGCAGGUCCUUGGCCACAAUGAUACGUCUGCAGUCCAGAAGGAGAAGCACCUACUGUCGGUUGUCUACUCCUGCAGUAGGACCAAGCAGUCUUUGCUCAAACCCCUCAGCAUGAUCUUGGACUGCACAGAUGAGGACAGGACAAGGAUAUUAUAAAUCUGGAACCACAGAUUUCAGUAAUAUUCCCAUCAAUCUGGCACAACUCCACCUUGGUCAGCAGCUCUGGAUGUCAGCCAGCUCAGCCAAGAGCCAGACUGGCUCCAUGUCCCUCUGCAUUAGUGCUCAGAUCUGGCUGAACAUUGUUGGCUGCUCAGGGCAGAGCUGGCUGGUCUGCACUGCAAACUGGGGAAUUAACGAUGGUAAAUGUGAGAGGUACGAGACCAUGCUAAUGACAUUUGCCCAGUGACACCCAGGAAGGGACACAGUUGCCCAGACAUAAGCCUCUGUUGGUAUUUGGAGAUGCCCCGGGGUAUCCCAAAGGGGAUCCUAUGGGUCUUUGCUGGAUCUUCCAGGCCUGUGCAGAUGCCUCAGGUACCUUGAAGCCCAAGUCACCUGUAUUUAGGCAACCAGAUGCCCCAGUUCAGUGCCCCUUACCUGCCAGUUCAGAAACCAGCAGGACCCAGCUCAGGUCUGCAGCGAGUUGCUUGAAUGGCCACGUGCCAGACCUGGGCUUAUGGCCACGUCACGUGGAGAGAGGCUGAAAUUUUGGCUCUGCCACAAACUGUGGCAACAUUCCCAUCAGUUUUCAUGGGGCCAUGAUUCCCCCCAGCUCAUAAAUGACAGUCUCAGUGCUUUGGCCACAGACACGUUUGCCCACCCGCAAUGAGCUGCCCCAGAGGAUUCCCCACAGCCUUGGGGUGUCUGUGCUCCCCACAGAGGUACCAGGCACCAUUCCCAAAGUGCUGUCCCCCUGGGAGACCUGGGGCAUGUCCAAAUGCCAUUGCAUUCCUGGCUUUGCAGCGUCCAACUGUCAGCCCUGUGAGAACCAGCAGAGACCAACUCCCGAAAUCUCCUGCAGCCCUUGGACCUGCCCUCCUCACCCCAGGAAGGAAACCAAAGGUGCAUUUUUUAACCAAAUUGCUGCAUUUGUGAUGCUGUCAGGCUUGAGAGGAUCAUGUCCUAAGGACAGGUCAAGAAUGUACUCCAGGAGUCCGACUCGGUUGCACAGUACCCACUCCUGCGUUACGGCUCUUAUAAAAUCCACCUGGAAAAAUAAUCCCCGUGCCCGUGCUGACAAAUGACUAACUCUUCCUGGUGCAGCAGCUUGCCUCUUCACUUUCCAUGUGUGUGCUUUGGAAACCAAACAGAGAGAGACCCUCAGGGUGGCCAAAGCAAACACAAGUCUUUCUGGGCAAGUGCUCUGCCUAUAAUAUAUAAAUAAACAUAUAAACUGAUGUAUAGACAAAUUAUCAAGAAGCAUAAAUACAAACCCUGCCACCGGCCAGACGUUUCCAGUCCGCAGAGCCAAGGAGGGGCUCUUUUGGCGCUGUCAAACGUUAUUGCUGCUGCCAGGUUGAUUUACAGCAGCUCUUUGUGCGGCGUGGUCCCUACGAUGGGCUUGCAUGGGGCUGGCUCCAGUGAGGGGGAGCAAGGGAUGGAAGAAGGAUCUCUCCUUCUUCCACUAGAUGCAAUCCCAGCAGGGGAAAUCCCAAAUCUCCUCUUUUAAAAAUAUAUAUAAAUAAAUAAAAAUCA